CAUUCGCUGAGUAUUGCUCAGUGUACGCCGAGUCGUCACUGCGGCCAGGUUGGCACACGUGUUUGUGUUGCGGGUUAAUACGCACGCGCGUGGAAUACCAACAACCGAUUGGGGGGGAGAAAGAAAGAAAAAGAGAAGAAGAAUCCUUUCGGUAAAUAUCGUGGAGUGUAGUGAACACGUGUGCGUGCGUGUUUUGUCCCUGGUGAUCUAGAAAACGUGCGGAACGUCCGGCUGAAUCUUCAAAUGUUACAAAACUGAUUUAUCUCGGAGAAUACGUAGUUCCUUAGACAUUUUUCAAAUUGUCGACCAUUUCUUCAAUCCUUGCACUUCCCAACGUUUCUUUAUGUACCACGUGACACCCUACGUACUUCAAAAUUCUUGACGAUACCAAAGAGCCAAAUCGUAGCAUGCCAAAUCAAAGAUGGAUCAUCACGAGUAUUCUUAUUUGCUUUUUCCUCGUUGGAAUGUUGAAAAGCGCUGUUGGAAAUCCCGUCAGGGACAGGUCAAAGGAGGAAGAGGAAAUGCCUAUGAGCAACUGGACACAACUUGCAGACGAAUGGCUCGCCAAAGCAAGUGCCGCAAGAGGGUUGGACGUUACCGUUUUACCAUAUACCGAGACGCUCAGAGAUUUACCACCGACCGCGGAAACUAUCCGCAUUAAUGGUACUAACCUCGAUCAACUUUCACGGCACAAUUAUUCCAGAAUGUUGUGGGAGAUGGAGAACGCGCAAUCAAAUGGGCACUUGUCAGGAUUUGUGGAUAAAGCUUUAAAAUUACUGGAUCUAAAGCAAGUGAUGAUGGAGGUAGAGACAUCGGUGAUGUCGAAAGUGUCUUGUUCGGCGUGCAAAGUUGGGGCAGGUCUUCUUCUACAUUACAUAAAGGUUGGCAAAAACGACGAAGAAAUUAUGAACAGCAUUUACCAAUUUUGUACAUCCCUUAAUAUUCAAAGCCCUCGAGUUUGUCACGGAGUUACAUUGCUCUUUGGGGGCGAAGUUAUUUACGUGUUGAAACAAGUAGAUAUGGGACCAUCGCAAAUCUGCAGCUUUGUUAUCGGCGACGCAUGCGACGACGCGUAUAAUCCUCUACACGAGUGGGAAGUUGCAUUCCCGCCAGUGAAUAAGCCACCUGUGAAACCACCCGUGCCGCCUCAAGAAGGUGCGCCUACCUUCAAGGUUCUUCAUAUCUCUGAUACGCACUACGAUCCUUACUACCAAGAGGGUGCGAACGCAGAUUGUAAUGAACCCUUGUGCUGCAGAUUAACCAAUGGGGCACCCCAGACACCAGCCGCACGUGCUGGACGAUGGGGUGACUACCGAAAAUGUGACACGCCAAAAAGAACGGUUGAACAUAUGCUUAAGCACAUCGCGGAUACACAUUCUGAUAUCGACUACAUUUUGUGGACAGGAGAUUUACCACCUCAUGACGUGUGGAAUCAAACGCGAGAGGAAAAUCUGAAAGUUUUGCAUGAAACGGUGACACAGCUCAUUGAGAUGUUUCCCGGAAUACCGAUCUUUCCUGCUCUUGGAAAUCAUGAAAGUGCUCCUGUUAAUAGUUUUCCACCACCAUUUGUGCCAAAAGAAAACGACAUAUCGUGGUUGUACGACUCGCUCGAUAAACACUGGAGACACUGGUUACCAGCAGGUGUUUCACACACUGUUCGCCGUGGCGCUUUUUAUUCGGUUUUAGUGCGUCCAGGAUUCAGAAUCCUUUCUGUCAAUAUGAAUUAUUGCAAUAACAAAAACUGGUGGCUGCUAAUAAAUAGUACGGAUCCAGUGAGCGAACUGCAAUGGCUAGUUUAUGAGUUGCAAGGAGCUGAAAUGAAUGGCGAGAAAGUUCACAUCAUUGGGCAUAUUCCACCUGGUCAUUCGGACUGUUUGAAAGUGUGGUCUAGGAACUAUUAUCAAAUCAUUAACAGAUACGAAUCUACAAUCACGGCACAAUUUUUUGGACAUACCCACUACGAUGAAUUCCAAUUAUUUUACGAUAUUGCUGAUCUUGGAAGAGCUGUUAGCAUAGCUUACGUCGGGCCAUCGGUUACACCUUAUUAUGAACUCAAUCCAGGAUACAGAAUAUACUACGUCGAUGGUGAUCAUCCAAAAACCACGAGGAUGGUCGUAGAUCACGAAAGCUGGGUAAUGAAUCUAAAAGAAGCGAAUCUUUACGAUUAUCCUAUUUGGCACAAAAUGUACAGUGCCCGACAAGCGUAUCAAAUGCCAUCGCUUUUACCACGGGACUGGGAUACCCUGAUAGAUAAGAUGAGCAAUGAACCUUCGCUUUUCGAUCUGUAUUAUAAACAUUAUUAUAAGAAUUCUCCCGUAAGACCGCAAUGUAAUGAUGAAUGUCGAAAAAGAUUACUUUGUGAUUUGCGAAGUGGAAGAAGUCACGAUCGCAAAGCUCUAUGUCAGAGUCUCGAAUCUAGAAUAGAUAACGAAACAAGGACAGGUUGGCGAGCUUGGAUUUACAACGGACUCGCUUUCUCUUUAUUGGCCAUUAUUAAGGUCAAAAAGCUAUUUCAUGUGAUAUACACAUUUAUUAGCAAAUGGCACCUAGUAAUUAAAUAACAGACAGUACCUUCUGGUGAUGGAACACAUAUAAUGGUGGUUGAAAUUUCCAACACUAAUCUACAUUGCUUAUAGUAUUGUCUGUUUUCAUGGCAAUUCCUCGAUUUGCAUAUAAUUUACCUAAAUAUGUAUUAGGCCUGGGAUAAAUGAAGAUAACAUUAAACGGAAAACUGAUGUGAUUCUGUUGUUAAAUUAUUAAAUAUUUACAAUGGUGACAUUGUUAUUUUGAAAGCUAUAAUAUGCAUUUACAUGCAUAAGAAUAUGCACUAUUACACGCAAAAGUAUGAUGGAAUUGUCAGAUGCAGAUACAUAUAUCCGUGAGAUCCGUGUUAUGUUAUAGUUAAAAGAAUUUAUUUAACUAGCAAUAGAGAGAUUAUAUAGCGUAAAGUUUCACUUUCAAACACGAAUUAUUUUUCCUUUGAAUGUGAUAAACAUACACAUCGAAUGUGUGUUGCUGUCGUAUCAAAAAUAUU